rnacentral:lncRNA from 1 species
ACUAACUAUCCUAGUUUUCUUCAAGUACAUAGAGGAAUUCUAGCUGGAGAAUCUGGUAUCAUUACCCUUAUCGGUAAAAGACUGAAUGGCAGGAAAUAGGCCUAUCAGUUUAAGGAGGUUAAUUACUAUUAAACAAAUGAGCAAGACAGGCUAGAGCAUAAGUUUCAUUAAAAAUUUAAAAGAAAUAGUUUUAUCUACUAUUUCUAUGUAUUAUGAAUGUGACCUUAAACAGUUCCUUAAACUCUGUGAGCAUUAGUAUCUUUAUUAUGGCACAGUAUCCAAUUAAUUUUAGAAGCAGCUUAGGGCCAAUUAUUGACAAACAUAUGCAGUAGAUGGAGAAUAUCUUUCUAUUUAGAUCUCAGUUGCUUGUCUAAGUUUCUGCAUUUCUUCACUAAUAAUUAA